rnacentral:misc_RNA from 1 species
AAGUCGUAACAAGGUAACCGUAGGUGAACCUGCGGUUGGAUCAUUAAUGAUUUUAUUAAUGGGUGAUAAUUUCUACGCUAACCCGUAGUGAAUUUGAACCCUGAACCUAAUGUGAACUGUUAAAGUCUCUGGCGAGACUUUGAGCUCGCCAGUAUUAUUAUCUCAACAUGUUUAGUAGUACCUAGUCUUAUUUUUAAUAAAACUAAUAUGAAACAACUUUUGACAACGGAUCUCUUGGCUCUC